AACGCGAAGAACCUUACCAAGGUUUGACAUGCAGGGAAAAGCCUCAGAGAUGGGGUGUCCGUAAGGGUCCUGCACAGGUGGUGCAUGGCUGUCGUCAGCUCGUGUCGUGAGAUGUUGGGUUAAGUCCCGCAACGAGCGCAACCCUCGCCCUUAGUUGCCAUCAUUUAGUUGGGCACUCUAAGGGGACUGCCGGUGAUAAGCCGCGAGGAAGGUGGGGAUGACGUCAAGUCCUCAUGGCCCUUACGGGCUGGGCUACACACGUGCUACAAUGGUCGGUACAAAGCGCUGCAAACCCGCGAGGGGGAGCUAAUCGCAAAAAGCCGGCCUCAGUUCGGAUUGCAGGCUGCAACUCGCCUGCAUGAAGCUGGAAUCGCUAGUAAUGCCGUAUCAGAACGAUGGCGUGAAUACGUUCCCGGGCCUUGUACACACCGGACACGC
rnacentral:rRNA from 1 species